rnacentral:rRNA from 1 species
GAUGAACGCUGGCGGCGUGCCUAAUACAUGCAAGUCGAGCGAACAGAUGAGGAGCUCGCUCCUCUGACGUUAGCGGCGGACGGGUGAGUAACACGUGGAUAACCUACCUAUAAGACUGGGAUAACUUCGGGAAACCGGAGCUAAUACCGGAUAAUAUAUUGAACCGCAUGGUUCAAUAGUGAAAGACGGUUUUGCUGUCACUUAUAGAUGGAUCCGCGCCGCAUUAGCUAGUUGGUAAGGUAACGGCUUACCAAGGCAACGAUGCGUAGCCGACCUGAGAGGGUGAUCGGCCACACUGGAACUGAGACACGGUCCAGACUCCUACGGGAGGCAGCAGUAGGGAAUCUUCCGCAAUGGGCGAAAGCUUGACGGAGCAACGCCGCGUGAGUGAUGAAGGUCUUCGGAUCGUAAAACUCUGUUAUUAGGGAAGAACAAAUGUGUAAGUAACUAUGCACGUCUUGACGGUACCUAAUCAGAAAGCCACGGCUAACUACGUG